rnacentral:tRNA from 1 species
AAAAAGAUAAGCUAAAUUUUAAGCUAUUAGGCCCAUACCCUAAACAUAGAAGUAACCUUCUUCUUUUUA